CCAAUAGCGUAUAUUAAAGUUGUUGCAGUUAAAAAGCUCGUAGUUGAAUUUCGGGAUUAGUACGUUGGUCGUGCCUUCGGUACGUACUGGUGUUACUGAUUCCUACCUUCUGACGAACCAUCAUGUCAUUAAUUUGGUGUGGUGGGGAAUCAGGACUGUUACUUUGAAAAAAUUAGAGUGUUUAAAGCAGGCUCGCGCUUGAAUACAUUAGCAUGGAAUAAUGAAAUAGGACGUUGACCCUAUUUUGUUGGUUUCUAGGAUUGACGUAAUGAUUAAUAGGGAUAGUUGGGGGCAUUAGUAUUCAAUUGUCAGAGGUGAAAUUCUUGGAUUUAUUGAAGACCAACUACUGCGAAAGCAUUUGCCAAGGAUGUUUUCAUUAAUCAAGAACGAAAGUUAGGGGAUCGAAGACGAUCAGAUACCGUCGUAGUCUUAACCAUAAACUAUGCCGACUAGGGAUCGGAUGAUGUUAUUUUUAAUGACUCAUUCGGCGCCUUACG
rnacentral:rRNA from 1 species